CACCUGUUGUUGUCUUCUCUGUAUGUAUAUCUGAUCCGACAACAUGUGCAGCUAGUAAUGAGUCUAUGAAUGCCGAUUAGAGCUGGACAUUAGGGUGCCUUAUCCUAGUGCUAAGCUAUGAUAUCACUGUCUUAGAAUCUUCUUUUGUCAACCUACAUAAGAGAAGUGAUAUACACCAGACCCUCUCAAGCAGCUCUCAGCUCAGUCUAACCUACAAUUGUGUCAAAAAGUAGAACUCUCUCCAUCACGACCAGAGAUUAUAUGGCAUCAUGGAUGACGAAAUUAACUCUACCACACCGACCUCUGUUGAGAAACUUUAAUUCAGGUCUUAGUCCCGGAUCUGUGCGGUCGGCAAUUCGCCUCGCUCAACGGUCGGCAUGCCUCCACUCCAAUUAUAAAAGUUCUUGCGCUUUGCACCUCAUCAUACACCAAAGUGGUAACACGUGUUUGGAACCAAAAUAAAGGUGCAACCUGCAGUCCAAUCACAUGCUGCCACAUCAACACAUGAGAUGUAUCGUUUAAAAAAAAUAAUGGGUACGGAAGCCUAUUUAGAAAUAUCCAUGCAAUUUCUUGCCAUGCAUUUAAUCUCACCAAGAGCAGAAAAGAAAAGUACAAAAAAAAAAUUACAUAAAUUUCUGCAGCGAACUUUAUCUGUGCUAGCUAAAUAAAUAAAUAAAUAAUUCAGCAAGAGUCAUACGUCAGUAGUUGCUCCAACCAUCC
rnacentral:lncRNA from 1 species